AAUCUGGAGUUUGACAUUUUUAACAUGUGAAAAUGUUGAGCCCCCUUAGAAUGAGUGAGUCAAAUGGAAACCUUCCAGUACCUUGGCUGGGAAACAUGGCCUCAUUUAGUGAUGAGUUUUCGGAUCCUGUGUGUGUCUUCAGAACAGAGUGCCCUGCAGGAAGCAGGCCGAGAAUAUCCCUCCUAGUUCUCUUUGGCAGGACAGCAGAGAGGAGUGUCCUUUGCUCAAGAUCUCCCGUUCUUAACUAGAACAUCUGUGACCUGACUCUGAGUUCUUUGAAACAGUCCAUCGUAUUUGUAUCCUGUCACAGGAGACUUUGCUUCUCUUGCCAGUUCUGCUCAGUGGAGUGUUAACCUGAGGAUAAACCCAGAUUCUGCUUUGUUUAUUUUUGGAAUUAGAAGAUUUGGCUUCUCUCUAAGGUCUUUCAGCUCCAAAAUUCUGUGAUUUUAAUAGAAUUUAGGUUUAUCUCCCCCCACCCUCCUACCCCAACCAGUCCAGGAUCCCAGCCACCACUUAGUAUGUCUCCCCCACUAUCCGCCUCCCG
rnacentral:lncRNA from 1 species